AAGUCGUAACAAGGUUUGAUGGAACGGGAUCCUUCCCGGAAGCCUUGACACAACGACUAUAACCAUGCGUGCAGUCUGGAAAUGGUUCUUUCCAGGCGACGUCGCCCCUGUGCUGGGACCCUGUAUUUUUAGUUACAGCGGACCAGCAGCCAGUGUUCUGGUCCACAGAUUAAGCGGUGGCGGUCUCGGUUUGUUGAGCUGGGAUCAAGAUGUAAUCGGUUCUCUAUCUUAGUUAUGGAGGUGACAUGUUCCGUAGGUGAACCUGCGGAAGGAUCAUUA
rnacentral:rRNA from 1 species